CUUGGUGUAGCUCAGUGGUACAGCGAUUGCCUAGCACAUGUGAGGAUCUGGGUUUGAUCCCCAGCACCAAUG
rnacentral:tRNA from 1 species